rnacentral:tRNA from 1 species
UAGCUAAGAAGUAGAGCACAUGCCUAGCAUGCAUGAGUCCCUGGGUUCAAUCCCCAG